rnacentral:lncRNA from 10 species
AGCACAAAUAUACAAUAUUUCCAUUAUUACAUAAAGUUCCAUUCAACAGUGUUGUCCUAGAACAUGCCAGACACAAAGUUAGGUACUUUACACAUAAUUUUCUCUUGUUUCAAAAUUUUCAAACACCUUGGCACAUACAGCUUAAUUAAAAGUCCAUCUACCCAGCAAAUCUGGAGUGCCCUUUGAUAAUCUGUUGCACAAAACUGUCCAAGACUGACUCUACCUAGUAUUCUAAGCUGGCUCAAGUCUACAAGGCAUAGUGAUUGCUGAAAAAUUGGAGAAGGUCAAAAACAGAGGACUUCUGGGCCUUUACCAAAUGCAUAUAUAUGAGAGACUUUGGCUGCAACCACAAAACAUAUCUCAGUAGAGAUGACAAUGAGAAUAGAAAGAAAGUGGAAUCAGCAAAGGAAAAAAAUAGUCCUGUAGGAAUAGCCACCAAAUACUCUUGCUUUAAACAUGGUGAGGACAGCCUAAGAAACCUUCUCAUGAUUCAUGUAACAGUCUUGGAAAAAUUCCACGGUAGAUAAAAGCUACUCCAAGAUAUGUAGCUGAAGCUUAGGAAACUUUCUCAAGGUCAAAGCCGAGUUAUUCCAAAUUUGCUUUCAUUUCAUUGAAGACCAUCUUGACUCUUUGGGGUGAGUCCAACACAUCUAUGCUGCAGCUGAUCAUAUUGUAGCCUGCUGAGAAGGACCUCUUGAUCUUCAGAGCACAUUUCCUGGCAGAAAAAAUAAGGCAAGCACAAGCCCCAUGUCAUCCCCUAACACAACUUCUCAUGGAACGUACUUUGGGCAAUGCUACUAGAAAAAGUACAAAUGAAGUUCUUACCUCCGGCUUCCCAUUUGAUGAAACAAGUCCUGUCCCAUAGGCUUCGAUGGCUCCACUCUGCUUGCAAAGAUCAAACUCUAAAGUAAACCAAUAGAGCUGAUCAAGGCACAAAAUGGAAAAAGAAUGGAGCGGUGACUGAAACCAAAUAUCUAAUCAACAGUGCCAAGGACUGGAAGAUCCCUCAAGAGGCUGAGAGGCAACCCAGUUCUUCCCCACUUCAACCCCAUCCCGAUCUUCAGGCAGGACAGAGAGCCUUCGUACUGCUCUCCUAAUGCAUCAUCCUCAGUCCCCUGGACCCCGCUUCUUUCAAAGUUCAAUUAUAUCUGAGGCUUAGUUCAAGGGUCCUCUUCUUCAAAUCUUCUCAUGACUCGGGGGCCCACUGAGCAUUUCCUUUCCUUCAGUUAGAUCACCCUUUCGUGUAUUCAUUAAAAGCACAUUGAACACUUACCAUAUGCAUGAUACAGUGCUGGGAAAUACAGAUCUGAAAUAGACAAAGAUCCUACCCCCCAGAGGAGCUCACAAUUUCUACCACUGGAAGAGGAAUGAAGAGAAGACAACGAAGGCUCAGUUCUAAGGAAGGCUUCAGCAGAUGAAGAUACAGUAAGUUGCGGGCACAUUGCCUUGUAGAACAUAUCCAACAGCAUUCUCACCAUGAUCACAUCAAGUUAUCAGAACACAGCCUGCCUCAGGUUAAGCACUCUAUGGAUGUUAGCUUUUAUUUGUGUUGUUAUUAUCAUUCUUGCUAUUAUGUAUUACAUUUAUGUUGUAUUACUUUUUUUCUUAUUCUACUGUUCCUGUACAAUAAAAUUGAAGGGUAAGAUGCUAUCUCCACCACAAAUG